GCGUUCUUAGCUCAGUUGGAUAGAGCAACGGCCUUCUAAGCCGUAGGUCACAGGUUCGAAUCCUGUAGAACGCA
rnacentral:tRNA from 5 species